rnacentral:rRNA from 1 species
GACGAACGCUGGCGGCGUGCUUAACACAUGCAAGUCGAACGAUGAAGAAGAGCUUGCUCUUCGGAUUAGUGGCGAACGGGUGAGUAACACGUGACUAACCUGCCCCUUUCUCUGGGAUAACGCUCCGAAAGGAGUGCUAAUACCGGAUACUCACAUCGAGGCACAUGCCUUGAUGUGGAAAGUUUUUCGGAAAGGGAUGGAGUCGCGGCCUAUCAGCUUGUUGGUGAGGUAACGGCUCACCAAGGCGACGACGGGUAGCCGGCCUGAGAGGGCGACCGGCCACACUGGGACUGGGACACGGCCCAGACUCCUACGGGAGGCAGCAGUGGGGAAUAUUGCACAAUGGGCGAACGCCUGAUGCAGCGACGCCGCGUGAGGGAUGAAGGUCUUCGGAUUGUAAACCUCUUUCAGUAGGGACGAAGCGAAAGUGACGGUACCUAAAGAAGAAGCACCGGCUAACUACGUGCCAGCCGCCGCCGUAA